GAUGAACGCUGGCGGCGUGCCUAAUACAUGCAAGUCGAGCGAACAGACGAUGAUCUUGCUCCUCUGACGUUAGCGGCGGACGGGUGAGUAACGCGUGUAUAACCUACCUAUAAUACUGGUAUAACUUCGGGAAACCGGAGCUAAUACCGUAUAAUAUAUUGAACCACAUGGUUCAAUAGUGAAAUACGGUUUUGCUGUCUCUUAUAGAUGGAUCCCCGCCGCAUUAGCUAGUUGUUAAGUUAACGGCUUACCAAGGCGACGAUGCGUGGCCGAAGUGAGAGGGUGAUCGGCCACACUGGAGCUGAGACAGGGUCAAGACUCCUAAGGGACGCAGCAGUAGGGAAUCUGCCGCAAUGGGCGAAAGCAUGACGGAGCAACGCCGAGUGAGUGAUGACGGUCCUCGGAUCGUAAAAAUCUGUUAUUAGGGAAGAACAAAUGUGUAAGUAAAUAUGCACGUAUUGACGGUAACUAAUAAGAAAGCAACGGCUAACUACGUG
rnacentral:rRNA from 1 species